UACGUAGGGUGCAAGCGUUGUCCGGAUUUCUUGGGCGUAAAGAGCUCGUAGGCGGCUUGUCGCGUCGUCCGUGAAAACCUGCAGCUCAACUGCAGGCUUGCGGUCGAUACGGGCAGGCUAGAGUUCGGUAGGGGAGACUGGAAUUCCUGGUGUAGCGGUGAAAUGCGCAGAUAUCAGGAGGAACACCGGUGGCGAAGACGGGUCUCUGGGCCGAUACUGACGCUGAGGAGCGAAAGCGUGGGGAGCGAACAGG
rnacentral:rRNA from 1 species